UACGAAGGGGGCUAGCGUUGCUCGGAAUCACUGGGCGUAAAGGGUGCGUAGGCGGGGCUUUAAGUCAGGGGUGAAAUCCUGGAGCUCAACUCCAGAACUGCCUUUGAUACUGAGGAUCUUGAGUUCGGGAGAGGUGAGUGGAACUGCGAGUGUAGAGGUGAAAUUCGUAGAUAUUCGCAAGAACACCAGUGGCGAAGGCGGCCCACUGGCCCGAUACUGACGCUGAGGCACGAAAGCGUGGGGAGCAAACAGG
rnacentral:rRNA from 1 species